AUUGAACGCUGGCGGCAGGCCUAACACAUGCAAGUCGAGCGAGCGGCGGACGGGUGAGUAAUGUCUGGGGACUGCCCGAUAGAGGGGGAUAACUACUGGAAACGGUGGCUAAUACCGCAUACUAUCGGAUAACCCAUAUGGGAUUAGCUAGUAGGUGGGGUAAAGGCUCACCUAGGCGACGGUCUCUAGCUGGUCUGAGAGGAUGAUAAGCAAAAAUGGGACUGAGACAGGGCGCAGACUCUAACGGAGGCAGAAGGGGGGAAUAUUGCACAAUGGGCGCAAGCCUGAUGCAGCCAUGCCGCGUGUAUGAAGAAGGCCUUAGGGUUGUAAAGUACUUGCAGAGGAGAGGCGUUACCAGCAGAAGAAGCACCGGCUAACUCCGUGCCAGCAACCGCGGUAAUUC
rnacentral:rRNA from 1 species